GAUAUACCAAGUGACUGUGUGUGGGGUUUGACAACUGUGGAAAGGUGAGCAGGAAACUCCGGUGGUCUCAGGCCAUGGAGGUGUUUGCUGCAUUUGAUAGGGAGGAGCUUUGAUGCAACUUAUUUGUAAGAAGGAUUUUUAAAUUUUUUAAUGGGUAGAAUUGUCAGGAAGGCGGAAAGGGCUUGAAAUUUAGUAAGUGCUUCUGGAAGGGGAUUUUCCAAGCCUGGAAGGGUAUUCAGCAGCUGUGGUGGGAAAAAGUUUCUCCUGAAAGACGGAACGUGUUUCUUCAUGACAGCUGCUCAAAGUAGGUUUCUGAGAUAGUUGACCGAGCUCUGGUAAAUCUCUUUGUCCAAUUACAAAAACUUCAGGGUGAAAUCCUAUGCUUCCAUGUACAUUACAUGGCUUAAGAUUAAACAAAAAAACAUUUUCAAGUCUCUAACUAGACUGAACUCUAAAGCACAGUAGUUCAGAAAUUAUUUAGAGCUUCCAGGAUAUAUUUCACGGCUUCAGACAUGUGAUCAGUUAGAGCCGAUGAAACCUAUGCCCGCCUGUAUAUAUUAGCAGCUUAGCUAGUUCAUAACCUGUGUAUUCUAAAGACUGCUAAGGUUUUGUUUUCAUUUUAAAUCCUAGCUGAUUGUUGUGGUCAAUGAAAUAUCCAGUUUCUGGAGGGCCAGUUGGGAAAUGCUUUCACUGGACCGAAAGACAAAUGGUUCAUCCUGAGGAUCUGAGCUUCCCUAGACUCCACACAGUAACCUUGGGACACCCUUUUAGAGAAGAUUGUUGAAACCGACAGCACCGCUCGGGCUAUGAGGAAACCAGGGCUUGGCACAGGAAGUUCCCCUUUGUAGCUAACAGUCCAGCAAGAAAGGGUUCAUCUUUUUGACUUCCAAUUAAUAUUGGGAAGUUUGGUUGAGGUUCAAGUGUGACUCCUUUCAGAGUCACAGGUAGGGGAGUGUGAAGUUGACGGGGAGGAAAGCUGGAAGGACUCUGGGAGAUUUCCAGCUCUGCUUUCCAGGGCUUGGCAGAAUCUGGACUGGGGAAAGACGGCACCGGGAAACUCUGCUUCCCCGUCGUUUACAUCUGAUCAGCUCUGGUGUGAGGAUUUCUCAGACAAGGGCAAGACCGUGUGCCCCUGCCCAGCCCAUUCAUGGAGCCCUGGGCCUUCUUGGCUUCCAUAGAUCCUAAGCUCUUGACUAUAGUUUAGCCAGACUUGUUUUGCUAUCUUAUAAGCAGUUCAGAAUUAGGGAAUGCUGGUUUUGAAAAGCAAAGGACAGGUAGUCUAGAGAGGGCCAUCUGGCCUGCUUGCUGGGUCUUUGUAACCCAGCACUUCCUCUUGCCCUCCUGACUUUACGUUUAUGGGGAGAGGACUCAAUAGCUCCACCCCUUCUGGCACCAGAAGGGGCUUGGUUAGUUUGCAAUAAGCACCUUGCAGAGGUUAAAGCCAGCUGGUCCCUAGUCUUAGGCCCAGCCUGCUUGUGUGGGCUCUGGCCUGGCCCGGUGGCUGGCCCAGGGGGCGGCAGUGCUCAGAGCUUCUGCAGGGCUUCUCUUGUUUACACAGCUGCAUCAGACAAUGCCAUUUCUCCCCACCAUGGAACCUUCCAUCUAAGAUUUCUUCCAGGGAAUGCCAGCAAUCAGGCAGCACCCAGCUGUGGGGGCAGUGGGGUGGGGGAGGCCCACAUUGAUGACUUUUUUUUUUUAACGAAGAAACACCAAAGCAAGCUGUGGAAAGGACCCACCCCACAUGAAAAGGAUAAGCCAAGAUAGCUGUAAACACAAAGCAUUUGAGCUGCCACUCUCUUGGAGCACAUUGAUUUUUCAAAAGCCAGCUCUGUCAGGAAAGGAGGUGCUGUUAUGAGCAGCUCUUCCAGGGGGGCAAAGAGGAUGCCCAUAAUUUCUUCCAUUGCUGGCUCAUCUGUGGGACCAAUCUGGUGUAAGCAACCUGUGGCCUGCACCUGUGGCCUCGAAGGAAGCACAAACCCUCCAUCCACUUCCCAUUUCCUCUACCCUUUUCCACCUCCCCUUUCCAUCCCACCAGCUGCCAGUGGCUCCCAGAAAGCCUUAUUGAGCCCCUUGUUGACACUUAGGGCUGCAGAGGCCUCUCCCCACUGGCUUGGCCUUUCCUGAGAGGCAGGGCUCCCAUCCUCAGAGCCUUUCUGGAACAAGGAGAAUGCCUGUGCAGGUGGACACAGGCCUGGCCUGUCGCUGUCACUUGUCUUCCAGCAGGGAGCUUCACGUUGCCGAGUGGAAGAACCAUGACCUCCACUUGCUUCCAAGGUGCUAGGGAAGUUUCAGGGUACGCUGGUUCCCCUCUCCAGCUGGAGGCCGAGUUUCUGGGGACUGCAGACUUUUCUACUCUGUGAUCAAUCCAACGCCCGAUGCUUCUGUUUCAUUCCUGACCCUUUCUACUAUGCAUUUUCCUUUUAUCAGGUGGAUAAAGUUAAAUACUGUGUAUUUAUCACUAAAAAGUACAUGAACUUAAGAGAAAAAUAAGCCUUUCGUGUUUUUCCACAGAUGUUUAAGCUUCUCUGUAAAGUUGAAAUAAACAGACAGCAAAAUGG
ensembl:lncRNA